rnacentral:rRNA from 1 species
GACGAACGCUGGCGGCGUGCUUAACACAUGCAAGUCGAACGGAAAGGCCCUGCUUUUGUGGGGUGCUCGAGUGGCGAACGGGUGAGUAACACGUGAGUAACCUGCCCUUGACUUUGGGAUAACUUCAGGAAACUGGGGCUAAUACCGGAUAGGAGCUCCUGCUGCAUGGUGGGGGUUGGAAAGUUUCGGCGGUUGGGGAUGGACUCGCGGCUUAUCAGCUUGUUGGUGGGGUAGUGGCUUACCAAGGCUUUGACGGGUAGCCGGCCUGAGAGGGUGACCGGCCACAUUGGGACUGAGAUACGACCCAGACUACUACGGGAGGCAGCAGUGGGAAAUAUUGCACAAUGGGAGGAAGCGUGAUGCAGCAACGCCGCGUGCGGGAUGACGGCCUUCGGGUUGUAAACAGCUUUCGCCUGUGACGAAGCGUGAGUGACGGUAAUGGGUAAAGAAGCACCGGCUAACUACGUG